GCCGGCGUAGCUCAGUUGGUAGAGCAGAGGUUUUGUAAACCUAAGACCGGGGGUUCGACUCCCUUCGCCGGCU
rnacentral:tRNA from 1 species